rnacentral:rRNA from 1 species
CUACGUGCCAGCAGCCGCGGUAAUACGUAGGGUGCGAGCGUUAAUCGGAAUUACUGGGCGUAAAGCGAGCGCAGACGGUUACUUAAGCAGGAUGUGAAAUCCCCGGGCUCAACCUGGGAACUGCGUUCUGAACUGGGUGACUAGAGUGUGUCAGAGGGAGGUAGAAUUCCACGUGUAGCAGUGAAAUGCGUAGAGAUGUGGAGGAAUACCGAUGGCGAAGGCAGCCUCCUGGGAUAACACUGACGUUCAUGCUCGAAAGCGUGGGUAGCAAACAGGAUUAGAUACCCUGGUAGUCCACGCCCUAAACGAUGUCAAUUAGCUGUUGGGCAACUUGAUUGCUUAGUAGCGUAGCUAACGCGUGAAAUUGACCGCCUGGGGAGUACGGUCGCAAGAUUAAAACUCAAAGGAAUUGACGGGGACCCGCACAAGCGGUGGAUGAUGUGGAUUAAUUCGAUGCAACGCGAAGAACCUUACCAAGGCUUGACAU